UGUCCCUUUCCUUUUCCUUCCUAAGCUCCUACAGAGGAUUAUUCAAGGUAAGAAUGAAAAAUGAAAGUGUUAAAAUGUUAAAGUGCUUUAGAAGAAGACUAUGAAAAACUAAAUUAUAAAUGGUAAACUAGAGUUAUGCGAUGAUGCUGGACGAAAUGAUUGUUAAUUUGAACCAUUAUUAACAUUUAACUUUGGAUUUUGUUUUUGUAUUGACCAAGGAACAUGACAGCUUUUACUCCAUUUACUUUUCCAAGGUUAUUUUUCCAGUUCUCUACAGAGGCCUACUGAGAAGGAACAUGAAAGCACAGCUUUUACUUCAUUUACUUAUCCAAGCUGUUCUGCUAUUUGAUACUUUAGCAUGGGAAGUGAAAAUGCCAAAAGACAUUCAUGGCCUCCAGGGUUCCUGUCUGGUUAUACCAUGUUCUUUCUCUUACACAUCAUACCCACCCGAAAACCCACGUCGAGUUGUGUGGUAUCAGUGGGUCUCUAAAGGUUAUCCUUUAGUUUAUGAUCUUCUGCAUGCAGAC